AUUGAACGCUGGCGGCAUGCCUUACACAUGCAAGUCGAACGGUAACAGAUCUUCGGAUGCUGACGAGUGGCGAACGGGUGAGUAAUACAUCGGAACGUGCCUAGUAGUGGGGGAUAACUACUCGAAAGAGUGGCUAAUACCGCAUGAGAUCUACGGAUGAAAGCAGGGGAUUGCAAGACCUUGUGCUACUAGAUCGGCCGAUGGCAGAUUAGGUAGUUGGUGGGAUAAAAGCUUACCAAGCCGACGAUCUGUAACUGGUCUGAGAGGACGAUCAGCCACACUGGGCCUGAGACACGGCACAGACUCCUACGGGAGGCAGCAGUGGGGAAUUUUGGACAAUGGGCGCACGCCUGAUCCAGCAAUGCCGCGUGCAGGAUGAAGGCCUUCGGGUUGUAACCUGCUUUUGUACGGAACGAACAGCCCUGGGUUAAUACCCUGGGGUCAUGACGGUACCGUAAGAAUAAGCACCGGCUAACUACGUGCCAGCCGCCGCCGUAAAAC
rnacentral:rRNA from 1 species